UUAAGCGACUAAGCGUACACGGUGGAUGCCCUGGCAGUCAGAGGCGAUGAAGGACGUGCUAAUCUGCGAUAAGCGUCGGUGAGGUGAUAUGAACCGUUAUAACCGGCGAUUUCCGAAUGGGGAAACCCAGUGUGUUUCGACACACUAUCAUUAACUGAAUCCAUAGGUUAAUGAGGCGAACCGGGGGAACUGAAACAUCUAAGUACCCCGAGGAAAAGAAAUCAACCGAGAUUCCCCCAGUAGCGGCGAGCGAACGGGGAGGAGCCCAGAGCCUGAAUCAGUGUGUGUGUUAGUGGAAGCGUCUGGAAAGGCGUGCGAUACAGGGUGACAGCCCCGUACACAAAAAUGCACAUAUUGUGAGCUCGAUGAGUAGGGCGGGACACGUGGUAUCCUGUCUGAAUAUGGGGGGACCAUCCUCCAAGGCUAAAUACUCCUGACUGACCGAUAGUGAACCAGUACCGUGAGGGAAAGGCGAAAAGAACCCCGGCGAGGGGAGUGAAAAAGAACCUGAAACCGUGUACGUACAAGCAGUGGGAGCCUCUUUAUGGGGUGACUGCGUACCUUUUGUAUAAUGGGUCAGCGACUUAUAUUCUGUAGCAAGGUUAACCGAAUAGGGGAGCCGAAGGGAAACCGAGUCUUAACUGGGCGUUAAGUUGCAGGGUAUAGACCCGAAACCCGGUGAUCUAGCCAUGGGCAGGUUGAAGGUUGGGUAACACUAACUGGAGGACCGAACCGACUAAUGUUGAAAAAUUAGCGGAUGACUUGUGGCUGGGGGGGAAAGGCCAAUCAAACCGGGAGAUAGCUGGUUCUCCCCGAAAGCUAUUUAGGUAGCGCCUCGUGAAUUCAUCUCCGGGGGUAGAGCACUGUUUCGGCAAGGGGGUCAUCCCGACUUACCAACCCGAUGCAAACUGCGAAUACCGGAGAAUGUUAUCACGGGAGACACACGGCGGGUGCUAACGUCCGUCGUGAAGAGGGAAACAACCCAGACCGCCAGCUAAGGUCCCAAAGUCAUGGUUAAGUGGGAAACGAUGUGGGAAGGCCCAGACAGCCAGGAUGUUGGCUUAGAAGCAGCCAUCAUUUAAAGAAAGCGUAAUAGCUCACUGGUCGAGUCGGCCUGCGCGGAAGAUGUAACGGGGCUAAACCAUGCACCGAAGCUGCGGCAGCGACGCUUAUGCGUUGUUGGGUAGGGGAGCGUUCUGUAAGCCUGUGAAGGUGUGCUGUGAGGCAUGCUGGAGGUAUCAGAAGUGCGAAUGCUGACAUAAGUAACGAUAAAGCGGGUGAAAAGCCCGCUCGCCGGAAGACCAAGGGUUCCUGUCCAACGUUAAUCGGGGCAGGGUGAGUCGACCCCUAAGGCGAGGCCGAAAGGCGUAGUCGAUGGGAAACAGGUUAAUAUUCCUGUACUUGGUGUUACUGCGAAGGGGGGACGGAGAAGGCUAUGUUGGCCGGGCGACGGUUGUCCCGGUUUAAGCGUGUAGGCUGAUUUUCCAGGCAAAUCCGGAAAAUCAAGGCUGAGGCGUGAUGACGAGGCACUACGGUGCUGAAGCAACAAAUGCCCUGCUUCCAGGAAAAGCCUCUAAGCAUCAGGUAACAUCAAAUCGUACCCCAAACCGACACAGGUGGUCAGGUAGAGAAUACCAAGGCGCUUGAGAGAACUCGGGUGAAGGAACUAGGCAAAAUGGUGCCGUAACUUCGGGAGAAGGCACGCUGAUAUGUAGGUGAAGCGACUUGCUCGUGGAGCUGAAAUCAGUCGAAGAUACCAGCUGGCUGCAACUGUUUAUUAAAAACACAGCACUGUGCAAACACGAAAGUGGACGUAUACGGUGUGACGCCUGCCCGGUGCCGGAAGGUUAAUUGAUGGGGUUAGCGGCAACGCGAAGCUCUUGAUCGAAGCCCCGGUAAACGGCGGCCGUAACUAUAACGGUCCUAAGGUAGCGAAAUUCCUUGUCGGGUAAGUUCCGACCUGCACGAAUGGCGUAAUGAUGGCCAGGCUGUCUCCACCCGAGACUCAGUGAAAUUGAACUCGCUGUGAAGAUGCAGUGUACCCGCGGCAAGACGGAAAGACCCCGUGAACCUUUACUAUAGCUUGACACUGAACAUUGAGCCUUGAUGUGUAGGAUAGGUGGGAGGCUUUGAAGUGUGGACGCCAGUCUGCAUGGAGCCGACCUUGAAAUACCACCCUUUAAUGUUUGAUGUUCUAACGUGGGCCCGUAAUCCGGGUUGCGGACAGUGUCUGGUGGGUAGUUUGACUGGGGCGGUCUCCUCCUAAAGAGUAACGGAGGAGCACGAAGGUUGGCUAAUCCUGGUCGGACAUCAGGAGGUUAGUGCAAUGGCAUAAGCCAGCUUGACUGCGAGCGUGACGGCGCGAGCAGGUGCGAAAGCAGGUCAUAGUGAUCCGGUGGUUCUGAAUGGAAGGGCCAUCGCUCAACGGAUAAAAGGUACUCCGGGGAUAACAGGCUGAUACCGCCCAAGAGUUCAUAUCGACGGCGGUGUUUGGCACCUCGAUGUCGGCUCAUCACAUCCUGGGGCUGAAGUAGGUCCCAAGGGUAUGGCUGUUCGCCAUUUAAAGUGGUACGCGAGCUGGGUUUAGAACGUCGUGAGACAGUUCGGUCCCUAUCUGCCGUGGGCGCUGGAGAACUGAGGGGGGCUGCUCCUAGUACGAGAGGACCGGAGUGGACGCAUCACUGGUGUUCGGGUUGUCAUGCCAAUGGCACUGCCCGGUAGCUAAAUGCGGAAGAGAUAAGUGCUGAAAGCAUCUAAGCACGAAACUUGCCCCGAGAUGAGUUCUCCCUGACUCCUUGAGAGUCCUGAAGGAACGUUGAAGACGACGACGUUGAUAGGCCGGGUGUGUAAGCGCAGCGAUGCGUUGAGCUAACCGGUACUAAUGAACCGUGAGGCUUAACCUU
rnacentral:rRNA from 1 species